GGGGGCUCCAGGCUGCCAGGUGGGUGCCGGGAAGUAGCAACUGUCGGUGCGCAGCUUCCGGAGCCCGCGGGGUGCACCUCUCCUGGAGGGCAGUAAGCCCGAGCGGGGUUUCGUUUUCGCCCUGUAGGAAAGCUCUGAAGAACUGACCACCCCUUUCUCUUGGACGUCCUAAGGCGUCAGACCUCAAGAUAGAUGAAGCUGCAUCACAUAGUGUGGCUGGUGCGCAGGACAGGUGAGCUCCGAGCAACACAGACCCUGCGGCUCUGCUCCGUCUGGGUUGGAUUCGCUCUCGUGGCUUCCUAGAUGGGCCUUCCUCCACUGCUGCACUGCGGAGAGGCCGGCAGGCGCCACUCCUCACCCACAGUAGUCUCCUUGCAAAAAGCUAGGCGCGCAGCCUGGCUGAGAGCCCAGAGCGUCACCUACCCACACCUGGCGUGGCCCUUCUGUAGGAGACGGGAUUGGCUUCUGCAAGGCCAAAACCUAUGUCCGACUUCCUCGAAGAGGAUCUCACUCAGCUGUCCUCACAAAGUUUGGAGCCAGAAAGUCCCAUGAUCGCAAGGAAAUUCACUGAACUUCGGUUUCGCUUACGAGGCAUUUUGAGAUUUUUCUUGCUUUGCCAGAGGAAGAGGAGAGGAACUGUAAAGAAUGCUUUUUAUUCCUGUGGAGUGGAAUAGUCUGUAUCCACAUUGAAGCUUUCUUCUCUCCUGUAUCCUGGAGUUGGUCAGAGUUGGUUCCUCGAAUGCGGCAGCACUACCAUCUCUCAGGUCAAAUUACAAGACUUGUUACUGGAGAGCACUUUGUACACCCUAGACUGCCCCACAGUUGUUAGUUAACAAUGCUCUUUGGGGUUUUACUGGCACCUUUUUUUUCCAAAUAAGAUUGAUAUGUGCCUGCUCAAAUAAAUUAGAGUGCUCGUCUCAGAUGACAGGCACAUUGGCAGGCAGGUCGUGUUCACAGGCCAACUAGAGGACUAAUUUCAAUUCAGGGAUAUAACCAGUUCGUGAGUACUAAGUAAGGAUUAGCUUUCAUUUGAGUGUUUAAUGUGUUAUAGCAGAGCAUGUCAGGAGCUAGCAGCGAUGGGAAGAAGGCUGGUGGUGGCACUGAGGCAGCUUGUUGGAACACUUCCAUGUCAUUGGGGAGACCCCUGAGUUUCACCACAUCAGUACUAUUGACAUUUGGAGCUGGAUAACUUUUUUGAAGAUUGUCCUGUGCAUUUUAGGAUGUUUGGAACACCCCUGGCCUCUACCCAGUAGAUGCUUUUAGCAAACACCCUCACCAAGGCUGACAAGCAAAACUGUCUCCAAAGUCAAAUGUGUUGUUCUUUCUCUUCCCAACCCAAGGUUGAAAUUUUGCCAUGCCUAGUGAUGAUCCCAGAGGGCUUGUCAGGAAGGCACAGGCUCCAGCACGCCUGCCUCUCAAGCAAGGUCCUGAGUUUGAUCCCCAGUACUGGAAAAAAAAAAAGUGCACAGGCUAAGCCGGGUGUGGUGAAUCAUGCCUGUUAUCCCAACAAUCUGAGAAGCUGAGGCAGGAGGAUGGCAAGUUCUAGCCCAGCCUGGGCAACUUACUGAUUCAACUCUGUCUCAAAAUAAAUAAAAAGGUUCCGGUAUGUAACUCAGUGUGAAGGCCCUGGAUUCAGCCAUCAGUACUGGGUGGGGGAGCCACAUUCCAGAGCUAUGAAUCACUAAAUGUGGUUUUUAUGUCUACCUACCAAUAAAUGUUUUGAAUGAAUCUUAUCAAAGUGAGGGAGGAAAUUCAGACAAAUCCAGAUUGGGAGAUAUUCUAGAAAACAGCUCCAGUGGACUUUUAAAAAACUCAAUAAAAAUCCAAAAAAGCCAGGGAAUCCAUCCUGAAAAAGGGAUACCACAUCCAGGUCUAUCAGCUGACCCCUUGAUCCAGCACUGGUUGAAGCAGGAAGUUAUGACCUUUGAAGGACAAUUGGAGAACUUUGUGUGUGGAUGUCCUAUACAUUGGAGAAUGUUACUGAAUCAUUGUUAGUUUUUGCUUUCCUAUAGUUCACAAGAAUGUCCUUAUUCUUAAGAGAUGCUUACUGAAUCAUUGAAAGUCGAAAGUUCUAGUGACUACUUUCAAAUGGCUCAGAAAUUAAUAUGUUGCCAGGCGUGGUUGCACAUGCCUGUAAUCUCAGCACUUGGGAAGCUGAGGCAGGAGGAUCACUACAAGUUGGAGGCCGGCCUGGGCUACAAUAGUGACUUCAAGACCAGAACUACAUAGCAAGAUCCUGUCUGAAAAAACAAAACAGGGCCGGGGAUUUAGCUCAGUGGUUCUGCGGCCUGCCUCACAAGCUCAAGGUCCCAAGUUUGAUCCCUGGUACCAAAAAAAAAAAAGAAAGAAAGAAAGAAAUGCAUCAUAUACAGUACAUUACAUUCCAGGAUAGGUUCAAGCCCUGGGCAGAUAGGGAGUCUUGAAGGUAGAUAGCAAGGUAUGUCCUUGGCAGCAUUAACAGGUUAGAUAGGGAGAUAUGUUCUUGGCAGAGCUAGCAAGAAAAUAUGUGCUUAUGAUAAUCAUUCAUUACAGACUACAGAACUUUGGAGUUCUUAACUCCAAUUUCAAACUAAUCCGUACCCACUUCCUUUUCACUGGGAUUACGGUGGGUGCCACCAUGCAUAUAGUUAUUUUCUUUUACAGGUUCUCAACCAUACUUCUGAAGAUGGAGUCAGAGAGCCUGCAUGUUUUUUCUCCAAUAGCACUUGGAAUAUGGGAGUGGGAGAAGGGAAAGCAGAUAUGGGAUGGAGAGGUUAGACCUAAACUGGACCACAAUCUGUUCACCUAUGGGCAUUGAUACAGUAAUCAGAAACCUACCCUUGGAGUCCUUAUCAAGAGUCCAGCUCAACGAAGAAUUCCAUGAGGACGGGAGGUGAGAAGUAGCUAGAGUCAGCUGGAAAGAAAGGAAGGAGCCCUACCUUGGAGACCAAUUUGUAGGCUAGAUCCACCUUCUGUGUUAAACUUUGUCACCAGUGGACACAGGGGCCACUCUUGACACCAAAGGCACUUGAGGCCACUUUGGGGCUCAGAGGAGCUGAAGGGAGUCAGCAAGUCUGCCAAACAAAGAUCCCAAGAGUUGAGCAAUCUCCUGAAUGCAACAAUUUAUUGAGCAUUUACCACAUUCAUAGAAAGAGAGAAGGGAUCUCACCCAGACAUAAGCUAGGAGCUGGAGGUGGCACUGACAGUGCAGGACUUUCUUCCACCUGGCCUACACACUGUGUGAACACCGUGGGCCCAACAGGCAGCACUGGAACUCAGCGAUCUGCAGGCUGAGCACUGGAACUCAUGGCGAUCCAGAGACCAGUACAGCCAGGGAGCCAAGUGGGGAAUCCGGAUGGGCAGAGUGAUGGUCACAGACUGUUGCAGAGCUCAAGCAGCAGCUCCUCAAAGAGCAAUAUGAGGGCAGAGUCCAUAAGCAUUAAGCCAGAAGACCAAGCCCAAGAGCAGCUCAAGACUUCAUCUUUUAUGCUGUGGGGAAGUUGGUGCAAACAACAUGUGUUAAUCUUGACAGUAAAAAUAUAUUUUUUAGAAAACAUUUUUAUAAGUUUCUCAAAAGGGGUUCACAAAGUAAGAUUUUAGCAUGCAGGCCAUAUGGUUAUCACACAAUAGGGUUGACACUCAAGCACAGUGGUUGUGUGGUUAUCACAUGGGUCAGAAAGCUCAGACUCAGAAAGUAAGUUUGAAACAAGACAGAAGCAAAGGAUGGCUUCUGUCCUGCUCACAUUACACUUUAAUCUAGGUCCAGGAUAUCCUGGUCUAAGUGGAGAAGGAGAAGUAACAAAGUAACCCAUAGUAAGUCCCCUGACCUAUACUCAGAAGUCUUAAGCAACCUUUGUCCACUCUGUCCACACCAUAAUCAUCAUGUCAUUACCAAUGCUGUUUUAACCACUCCCCGCCACCAUUCCUGUGGGUUUGGGGCACCAUGAAAGUUUCUCCAAGGGCCAUAAAAAGUCAAAAACUGCCACUAAUUGGGAGGGCAGAAUCAAACCUCUCAUUGGCAAGAGCAACCUUUAGACCAACCCCUCAGUCCCUGCCCAAUCCUUAGUGCUUAAAACCUUCACCACCAAGCCUCUUCAAGGCAGGACCUUUUCUCACGGGUCCACUUCCACCUUGUACUUUCAGUAAAUCUUUGAUCUUUCUGCUCCUUUUGAGUGCCCUGCUCAAUUCUUCAUUGAGACACCAAGAACCUAGAUAAGAUUCUUGACUCAGUAAGAGGGGGACAGAAAAUUAUUUUUUCUUCCCCUGCUCUAACCUAUUUUCUCUUCUGUCUUUGGAAGCUCAGCAGCAACAAAACUUCAGGGAGCAAAAGAGACCCCUCUCCUCCCAGCAGCCUGGACUCUCAAGAGCCACCUUCGCUUGGGGCUGGGAACAUGAUUCACUGAUAGAACAUUUGCCUAGAAUGCAUGAGGCCCUAGGUUCAAUCCCCAAAAUGGGGUGGGGGAGCCCUGCUCAUGGAUUGGAAGACAAAUCUGUGGAGAGAGUAGAUUAGUUGUUGCUUAGAACUGAGGUGAUAAGAAGAUUUGAAAGGUGAUGGCUAAGUGUUACAAAGUUUUUUUGGGGGUAAUAAAAUGUUCUAAAAUAGCUUGUGACAAUGGACGCACAACUAUGAAUAUACUAAAAGCCAUUGAGUUAGGAACUUCCAAUGGGUGAAUUGUAUAGUAC
rnacentral:lncRNA from 1 species